AAAUUUUAAAUCAUCUGUCUCCGGUUGAGCUCUUGCUGUAGGAGCACCAACCCGACGAGCAUCAUUUUUGUCGGUGCAUAGAGGAAAGCUGUAGGUGAAACCACAGGAACCCCCUUUGCCUGACAGGAGCUUUACAAAGGAAGGUCAGUCACCAGGUACCCAUUACGCAGGCAAAGGAAGCCGAGACUCAUGCAAAGCCUCUGGCAAAGGUGGAAACAAAACCUCGGGCUGUGAUCCUGCAUUAGCAGCCGUCUGGAUCUGCCUGCCUCGAGCUCCUUACAGAUGAGCAGUCUGGGACUGGACCGGUGAAGAGGUAACUCCCUUUGUGCCUGCUGUUUCUGCUGAUCCCCCAAAACGCUGCUGCCUCUCGCUGCUGCUGGUGCCACCCAGACCUCUCCCACCGCAGCACUCGGUCGCAGCAGGGCUCAACACCCGGCUACUCCCACUGAUGUCUCCAGGACGGGGCAAGAGCUGUGGUGACCCUCAGAGUUCAGCUCUAGGCACAAGCCGAAAGCCUCAUAUUUUACUAAAAUGUGUUUCUGGUCAUUGUAAUUCUGCACUGCUCCCUUCUUUAUGAUGGAGAACCUUCUCUGCUUCCCAAGGCUACUGAUGCUUCUGAUCCCAGCCUGCCUCCCUGCAGGGGGAGACACAAGAGGAGAUGUGGAGAAGUGUCAGAGAGUGUUGGAGAAGAGCAGAGGACAAAACUAGAGGAGUGGGCUGCUACAGGAACCAGCUUCACUUCUUGGCAUUGCAUUCUGCUGUAGCAUGCCUCCAGGCUAUCCCAUAGGUCUGUGAGAUCUGUGUUAACUCCAUGUGCAUCAAGGCUGGCAUGACACAGGAGUUUAAAAUAUAAACCAAACUCACUCCUUGCCAGAAGAAAUGGAGGAAGGGGUCAUCAGAGAUGUCUGCAGGACUCAGCAUGUGUGGCCUGGGCAUGGAAGUGGUGCUCCCUGGCCCUGUGGCUGGCAGGUGGAGCACGAACAGGGACACAGGAACAUCCAAACCCGUGUGUGACAUACUUAGGCAAAUGCUAAAGCUGUUGGCUUCAAAGCACAGGUUAUUCUGCUCGUCUUCAGGAAAAGGUGCUGAACUUGAUGGACUGCUUGGACAACAAUUCCUGAAUGCCUCUCAGGUUCAAUAUCACCAGGGACAUUAAAGACUCUCGUCCACUUACAGUUUGUCCCAAGACAGGAAAAUUAAUGGGCAUGUUUUCACCAACAAGGACUGUUCUGAUCUUAUAUGUUUUUAAAUGUUGUUACCAAAUAAAGCCACAUUUGGUAAAUAAAAAACAGCCUUAACAGGUCCUGACCUUGGCCCCUGACUGGCUGUGAA